UCAGAAAUCAGACGGGCAGCAAGUGUCGUGGUUCAAGUGCGGCUAAUUUGGCUUAUUUGUGAUUUUCACACUGUUUUGUGGCUUAUUGUGCAGUGUUGAAAAAUCUAACUAAAUUCAAAAUCAGCUUAAAAGGAAAGUGUUUAAAGUUCCAUCAAUAAACCCAUAAAACAAAUUUAUAAGGGGAAAGAAAUCCUUCGAAUAAUAACCCUCAGUGUUUCAAAAGUGUUCAAAUUUUACAAUUCUUGCAUCGCAUCACCAAAAUCAGCGACUGCUUUUCUGCAUCCUCGUGAAUUUCCUGGAAAAUUUGGAGAAAAACUGUGCAAACGCCACUGGCCUGGAGAGUCAAGGUUGUGCAGCUGAAGGGAGAAGAAGCAACUGCAGCAGCCGCAUAAAUUCCAAAAAAAAUAAUAGAAACUGUAGCGGAUCUACAGCUGCAUUUGUACCCUCUAAAACAGCAGCAACAUCAUCUGUAAUCAAAAGCUUAGCCACAUCAUCGGAAUCUUCUGGCACUGAGGCAGCAGCAACAUUAACCAGCAGCAACAUGUGAGUACCACUCAAAU